AUACCGCAUACGAUCUACGGAUGAAAGCAGGGGAUCGCAAGACCUUGCGCGAAUGGAGCGGCCGAUGGCAGAUUAGGUAGUUGGUGAGGUAAAGGCUCACCAAGCCUUCGAUCUGUAGCUGGUCUGAGAGGACGACCAGCCACACUGGGACUGAGACACGGCCCAGACUCCUACGGGAGGCAGCAGUGGGGAAUUUUGGACAAUGGGCGAAAGCCUGAUCCAGCCAUGCCGCGUGCAGGAUGAAGGCCUUCGGGUUGUAAACUGCUUUUGUACGGAACGAAACGGUCUUUUCUAAUACAGAAGGCUAAUGACGGUACCGUAAGAAUAAGCACCGGCUAACUACGUGCCAGCAGCCGCGGUAAUACGUAGGGUGCAAGCGUUAAUCGGAAUUACUGGGCGUAAAGCGUGCGCAGGCGGUUAUGUAAGACAGUUGUGAAAUCCCCGGGCUCAACCUGGGAACUGCAUCUGUGACUGCAUAGCUAGAGUACGGUAGAGGGGGAUGGAAUUCCGCGUGUAGCAGUGAAAUGCGUAGAUAUGCGGAGGAACACCGAUGGCGAA
rnacentral:rRNA from 1 species